UACAGCUUCCAAUAGCCACCUCAACUUUGCCUUUAUUUUCCAGCUGUGGUUGAGUUUAGCUUUGUCUGGUACGGUUUUUGUGUCUGUUCAGUUUUAUUCAAAUGAAAUUUUCGUUUACCGACCGCUCUAAUUGGAUUAUCUACGAACUCAAUUAUGCGCAUUACACAUGAGGGGCUAGUUGAACACAUUGAACAGGCAUGAACGCAAUGCGAAUUGAUUUUAUCCGUCAACCACUAACUCAAUUGACUUGACCCGACGACGUUGUCGGCCUUUUUGCCGCCACUUUGCAUUCUCGAUUGGGAGCAUUGCGAUUCGACUCGGCUCUACUGGUCCUGGCCUAUUGACAUUCCCAUUGCGAUUUGUUUUCAGCUCACUUGACAGGUAAUGGCAGCCCACUGGAACUUCUCUGCCAUCCGCCGGAGGUGCACUGUAAAGAAAACUUAUAAAAAGUGGUAGUGAAUUCUGGAAUACACACUUAAUACUCUAAAUCUCAGAUUACGAUACUUACGAAACUUAAUCUACCUAUCUUAUCAAAACAAUUAAACGUUUUUAU